rnacentral:rRNA from 1 species
GUGUCAGCAGCCGCGGUAAUACGGGGGGGGCAAGCGUUGUUCGGAAUUACUGGGCGUAAAGGGCGCGUAGGCGGGCGGACAAGUCUCUCGUGAAAGCCCACGGCUCAACCGUGGAAUUGCGGGAGAUACUGUCUGUCUUGAGUCCGGGAGAGGAGGGUGGAAUUCCCAGUGUAGCGGUGAAAUGCGUAGAUAUUGGGAGGAACACCGGUGGCGAAGGCGGCUCUCUGGACCGGUACUGACGCUGAGGCGCGAAAGCUAGGGGAGCAAACGGGAUUAGAUACCCCUGUAGUCC